GAUGAACGCUGGCGGCGUGCUUAACACAUGCAAGUCGAACGAGAAGUGAAGACGGAAACCUUCGGGCGGAAGGCUUUAUUUCGAGUGGCGGACGGGUGAGUAACGCGUGGGUAACCUGCCUCAUACAGGGGGAUAACAGUUGGAAACGACUGUUAAUACCGCAUAAGACCACAGCACCGCAUGGUGCGGGGGUAAAAACUCCGGUGGUAUGAGAUGGACCCGCGUUCGAUUAGCCAGUUGGCGGGGUAACGGCCCACCAAAGCGACGAUCGAUAGCCGAUCUGAGAGGAUGACCGGCCACAUUGGGACUGAGACACGGCCCAAACUCCUACGGGAGGCAGCAGUGGGGAAUAUAGCACAAUGGGGGAAACCCUGAUGCAGCGACGCCGCGUGAGUGAAGAAGUAUUUCGGUAUGUAAAGCUCUAUCAGCAGGGAAGAAAAUGACGGUACCUGAGUAAGAAGCCCCGGCUAACUACGUG
rnacentral:rRNA from 1 species